CCUACUUACAUUGAAAAUACCCACUCAUGAAGCAUGAUCAAAAAUUGGUUUGGUGUUUAUUUGGUGUGUCCCAAGUAGGUGUGGGAGUGGAUGCAAAGUGGAUGUCAUAAGUGAUGAUAAUUAUAUCUCAUGUAGGAGUCCUUCUUUCAUGAGUAUUAGAUCAAUUCAAAUCAGAUUUGAAUAAAGAGUCCUCCUCUCAUUGGGUAUGAGAAUCAUCUAUAAAUAGAGAGGAUCUCUACCUAUGGAUGAGAGAAGAGAAUAGAAUAGCAAACAAAUCAAAUUGAGAGAAGAGAAAAAAAGAGAG
rnacentral:lncRNA from 1 species